AGAGCACUAGCCUUCCAAGCUUGUGAUGCGGGUUCGAUCCCCGCUACCCGCU
rnacentral:tRNA from 1 species